rnacentral:rRNA from 1 species
UACGUAGGGUGCGAGCGUUGUCCGGAAUCAUUGGGCGUAAAGGGCGCGUAGGUGGCGGGACAAGCGUGCGGUGAAAGCUUGGGGCUCAACCCCGCGUCGGCCGUGCGAACUGUUUUGCUUGAGCACUGUAGAGGCAGGCGGAAUUCCGGGUGUAGCGGUGGAAUGCGUAGAGAUCCGGAAGAACACCGGUGGCGAAGGCGGCCUGCUGGGCAGUAGCUGACACUGAGGCGCGACAGCGUGGGGAGCAAACAGG